GGGGCAGUAGCUCAGUUGGGAGAGCGCGUCGUUCGCAACGACGAGGCCGGCGGUUCGAUCCCGCUCUGCUCCACCA
rnacentral:tRNA from 4 species